CCUGUACUCCUGCCUGGAAAAGAGUUUAUGAGGAACUUUUUUUCGGUUGUGGAGAAACCAGGUAAAAAUUCCUUCUUAGAAAAAAAAAGUGUAUACAGUAGAAUACAACCUUCUCCUGUUUCCCCUUCUUAAUGUUGUAUAUAUUUUGACUAUUUAUUAGAUUAGAAAGUCAUAUUUUACUUAUCAACUGAGCCAAAUGUCUUUGUGCAAUUGUGUUCCCUUUACUCUUCUUGUAAAAUUUUGUACAGCCUAAAUGAGUCAAAAUCAGUUUUUACGAAACUUUUUCAGAAUUGAGGAUUGUAAAUAUUGUAGAUUCUUUUCCUGUGUAAUGUGUCCUACUGUUUCAUAAUGCUGUAACUUGUAGAAAUGUUGUAUAUUUAUUUCCUGCUUAUUUAAUGUCUUAUGUUGGGAAAGUGUUGACCUCCUUGGCCCCACCCCUCGCUGUCCCAUUCGUGGCUUUCGCUCUGAGGUGGUGACUGGUCAGCCCUGUGCAGGCUGCGUGGUCUCCCCAGGGUGGCCCUCCAGCUUUGAUUUCUGGUCAAAUAAGUUUAAAUUCUUGGGCCUUACCUGUCUUUAGGAUGAAAUUUUUGUUUAGACUUCCAACAAGAGGCUGUAAAUCUGGCAGGCUACAAAAUUCUACUCUAGGAAACACCCAGUGACUUUCUAUUUGUUCCAAAACAGCUAAUUUCUCAUGGAAGCAAAUUAUAUUAACUCCAGGCCGUAUCUUUUUUUUUUUUUUUCAAAAAACGUAUUGUCGGCAGUUGGGACGGAUUUUUUUCCAUUGAAAAUUUAUCCCCGACAACUCAGUGUUCAGAGAAAUAAAACAAGCCCCUUCUGGAGGUGCCACCUGAGGGUGUUCAGGGCGAGGGCCAGGCAGGAUGAAGGCACAGGUGGCAUGUGAGGCUCCUUCUGAGAGAGCGACUUCGGGACCACCUCAUGCCACCAGCGCCUUGUGGGCAACUGGUGAGGAGGUGAGUUUCCCCCACAUGCUGUGUGGCUCCCUGUGCUGUGAGGUGUGGACUGAAUUACAUUGGCUGUCUUCAGGAGCUAAUUGUACCGCCCCCCGGCCCUGAACCUUUUGGUCCCUGCAGUUGAUCAGCCUGCUUCUUCAGGUUGAUGCCCUCCUGCCGCUUCUCCAUCACCUUCGAGAGAGGUUGGGGGCCCCGCUGGACUGGGUGUUAAGAUGUGGAAGCUUUAGAGAGACUUCCGAGUGGUUCCGCGGAGGUGGUUCUGUGACCACUAGUUACUGUAUUAGGUCUCAUCAGGUACUCAUUCAUGAACAGCACUGAUCUGUCUGUACUGACCCUUCACUAAUUCGGUUCCUAGGACCCAGCAUAUGUAGCAUCUGUACCAUGGUUUUCCUGGCUUACUUGUGUUUGCACUGAUGAAUUUUGACAGGGUAAUUGCCACUUUACUUGUGCAAUACUGCUGUAAAUAACUGCAGAUUUUUUUUUUUUAAGAAACUCAAUCUUUUAUGUUCUUAAUGAAUUUUAUAUAAAUAAAACUUUGAACUAGU
rnacentral:lncRNA from 1 species